UAUCCCAUCACUAGAACAAUUUAACGUUAAGAAGGGUAAAUAAGUUUACAGUUGGUGACAGGAACCGCCGUUGAAACAAUUGUGUCUUAAAAAAAUGGAACGUUUUGUGUUGCAGUGUUGCAAAUCAUCGGAAACUCACAAAAAAUGCACAAGUCACUUUGUAUGUCAAGCGGAGCUGACUAAAUACAGAACGAGGAUCUUCCUGAUCGCACAACCAUGUCGAAAGGGAAAGUAGGUCAACCAUAAGUAGAUUUUUAGGAAUCUUUGAUCCGGGCGCCAAAUGAAGCGAUGCUGGAGCAAAAGAAACAGCCGCAACCAUGUCGAAGACUCCCAAGGAUGUGACACGUCUGCAAGCCACCAAGCAGGCUGUCAAACAGAAAAUAGAGAUGUGAGUUCCCCAAGAAUUUUGGAGUGUCAAUUCUUGAUAUGUGCCGAACGUAGCCUUUUGUAGCCCCAAACGCUGGCCCAGAAAGGCGAAGAAAACGGAGCCCACAGCUGUACAACUUUGUCUGGUCGAAGGAAAAGACAAUAGUCCCAAACUUAUUAAAAUGAAUGCAGGUUAGGUAAGGGUCAUGCCCAAGAAGGAACGAAAACGGAUUGAAAUAUUUACAACAUCAGUCGAGCCCUGCAUUCCCCUACCUAACUAUUCCAGCAUCAGCCAAAGCCCGUCACGGUUAUAAAGAGAUGCCUGCCACCCCAAAAAGUCUUAAAAAGUCGGUGUCUGCACGCACCCCAGCUACGGAGGCUGUAUUGGGCUUAAAUACACAUUGAUUGGAAAAGUUAUAAAUAAGCAAAAUUAAUAUUAGUAAUCAUUUAUUUAUAUUUUUUCUUUUGUUGUGUUUUUGUUUA